CACAUUUUUCUUACCACUAACUGACUACUGGAUAUUUUGAACUUCAUGUCCAGCAGGCCUCUAAACUCACCAUAUCCAAAACAGAUGUCAUUACCUUUCUCCUCCAUGUUUCUGAACUUCCUUGUUAUUAUUAAGAGCAUCACCAUCUUUCCAGGAACCCAGAAUAUUUUUCUUUAG
rnacentral:lncRNA from 1 species